rnacentral:rRNA from 1 species
UACAGAGGUCUCAAGCGUUGUUCGGAUUCAUUGGGCGUAAAGGGUGUGUAGGUGGCGCGCUAAGUCGGGUGUGAAAUUUCGGAGCUUAACUCCGAAACUGCAUUCGAUACUGGCGUGCUUGAGGACUGGAGAGGAGACUGGAAUUCAUGGUGUAGCAGUGAAAUGCGUAGAGAUCAUGAGGAAGACCAGUGGCGAAGGCGGGUCUCUGGGCCGUAACUGACGCUGAGGAGCGAAAGCGUGGGGAGCAAACAGG